rnacentral:misc_RNA from 1 species
UCUCCGUAGGUGAACCUGCGGAGGGAUCAUUACCGAGUGAGGGGGCCCCGUGCCCCCGACCUCCAACCCUUUUGUGAACCACCUCGUUGCUUCGGGGGCGACCCUGCCGUUCGCGGCGUGGGGCCCCCGGAGCCCAUCAAACCCUGCGUAACUAAGUCGUCGGAGUUUAUACAAAUUAAACAAAACUUUCAACAACGGAUCUCUUGGUUCGGGCAUCGAUGAAGAACGCAGC